AAAACGGUGUCUUUAGACACCACCAAUCCUCUGUGAAGUUUAUUU
rfam:Picea glauca, whole genome shotgun sequence.